rnacentral:rRNA from 1 species
GAUGAACGCUGGCGGCGUGCCUAAUACAUGCAAGUCGAACGCUUUGUCUUUAAUUGAUCUGACGAGCUUGCUCUAAUUUGAUUUUAUCUGACAAAGAGUGGCGAACGGGUGAGUAACACGUGGGUAACCUACCUCUUAGCAGGGGAUAACAUUUGGAAACAAGUGCUAAUACCGUAUAAUACCAACAACCGCAUGGUUGUUGGUUGAAAGAUGGUUCUGCUAUCACUAAGAGAUGGACCCGCGGUGCAUUAGCUAGUUGGUAAGGUAAAGGCUUACCAAGGCAAUGAUGCAUAGCCGAGUUGAGAGACUGAUCGGCCACAAUGGGACUGAGACACGGCCCAUACUCCUACGGGAGGCAGCAGUAGGGAAUCUUCCACAAUGGACGCAAGUCUGAUGGAGCAACGCCGCGUGUAUGAAGAAGGUCUUCGGAUCGUAAAAUACUGUUGUCAGAGAAGAACACGUGAUAGAGUAACUGCUAUGACGCUGACGGUAUCUGACCAGCAAGUCACGGCUAACUAC